ACUUAUGGCCAUACUGCUCUCUGCAAGCCUGUUCCUGUUCUGAUCAUAGAAGCUAAGCAGCAUCAGGCUUGGUAAUUACAUGGAUGGGAGACCAUCCUGGAAUACCAGUGCUACAAGCU
rnacentral:rRNA from 1 species